AGCGACCGUCACCUCCGGGCGCCGGGGACUCGGAACGCCGGGUCGGAGCUCGGCAGGCGGAGACACUAUCUGUUCUGUUGCAAUGCAAAAGGAUGAAAGUAACAGUGGCUGCUGCUUAUGGGGCUUGAUAGUUACUAUGUAGCUGCAUGUAUUAAUUCAAGCCUCACUGUGAGCUUACCAUGUUUUACCAGUGACCUUUUGAAUCUUCACCAGAACACUACAAGGAACAGACAUUGAUGCAGUUUCCUUCCUGGAGAGGGUACACACUCAGAUCAUGAGACCUAAGAUAAAACACACACUGGAUUGUCAAGAAUCAAACAAGGACUACCAAUGGGAUCUAAUUAAACUAAAGAGCUUCUGCACAGCAAAAGAAACUACCAUCAGGGUGAACAGGCAACCUACAAAAUGGGAGAAAAUUUUCGCAACCUACUCAUCUGACGAAGGGCUAAUAUCCAGAAUCUACAAUGACCUCAAAUAAAUUUACAAGAAAAAACAACCCCAUCAAAAAGUGGGCUAAGGACAUGAACAGACACUUCUCAAAAGAAGACAUUUAUGCAGCCAAAAAACACAUGAAAAAAUGCUCAUCAUCCCUGGCCAUCAGAGAAAUGCAAAUCAAAACCACAAUGAGAUACCA
rnacentral:lncRNA from 1 species